AUUGAACGCUGGCGGCAGGCCUAAUACAUGCAAGUCGAACGAGCGGCGGACGGGUGAGUAAUGUAUGGGGACUGCCCGAUAGAGGGGGAUAACUACUGGAAACGGUAGCUAAUACCGCAUACUAUCGGAUAACCCAUAUGUGAUUAGCUAGUUGGUGAGGUAAUGUUUCACCAAGGCGACGAGCCAUAGCUGGUCUGAGAGGAUGAGCAGCAACACGGGGACUGAGAUACGGCGCCGACUCCAAGGGAGGCAGAAGUGGGGAAUAUUGCGCAAUGGGCGGAAGCCUGAUGCAGCCAAGCCGCGUGUAUGAAGAAGGCCUUAGGGUUGUAAAGUACUUUCAGUGGGGAGGCGUUACCUGCAGAAGAAGCACCGGCUAACUCCGUGCCAGCAGCCGCGGUAAUUC
rnacentral:rRNA from 1 species